GCCUCGGUAGUGUAAUGGAUCAGCACAGCAGACUAGAUAUCUGUAAGUGUGGGUUCGUCAGUCUCGCCUGAGGUU
rnacentral:tRNA from 1 species